GGCAAAGGAAAUGAGAGAUAUCAAUAAAUUUAAUUUUUUUACUUAGUUUUAAUUGAUAUUUAAUUUAAAAAUUUGAGAAAUUUUUUUAAAGGAUUUAAUAUUACCGGAUGAAAGUUGUUAAUUCAACAAAUUUAAUUCAACUAAAAAAAAGGGUAGCAGUUUUGUGGAACGGUGGACGACUGGACGGUGUGGGUGCAAAUCAAACCAUCAAACUAAACCGAAAACUGCCACCAAAAUACAAAUGGCUGUCCUAGGUUGUAGCGUCGGCGGCCGCACAUCAAUCUAGGAUUAAUUUUUAAAAAAAAAUUCAUUUUAAUAGUGUAUCUAAUAUAAUUAUUAUAUAAAUUUAAAUAUAAAUAAUUAAAUAAUAAUUAUUAAAUUUAUUUUCACAUAAAUUUAAAUUUUCUGUAACUGCACUCUAUUUUAAUUUUUACAACUUU
rnacentral:misc_RNA from 1 species